GGGGGCUAGCGUUGUUCGGGAUUACUGGGCGUAAAGCGCGCGUAGGCGGACCUGCAAGUAGGGGGUGAAAGCCCGAGGCUCAACCUCGGAACUGCCUUCGAUACUGCGGGUCUCGAGUCCGGGAGAGGUGAGUGGAAUUCCUAGUGUAGAGGUGAAAUUCGUAGAUAUUAGGAAGAACACCAGUGGCGAAGGCGGCUCACUGGCCCGGUACUGACGCUGAGGCGCGAAAGCGUGGGGAGCAAACAGG
rnacentral:rRNA from 1 species